rnacentral:rRNA from 1 species
CGUAGGGUGCAAGCGUUGUCCGGAAUUAUUGGGCGUAAAGAGCUCGUAGGCGGUUUGUCGCGUCGAAUGUGAAAACCCCGGGGGCUCGACCCCGGGCCUGCAUUCGAUACGGGCAGACUAGAGUUCGGUAGGGGAGUCUGGAAUUCCUGGUGUAGCGGUGAAAUGCGCAGAUAUCAGGAGGAACACCGGUGGCGAAGGCGGGACUCUGGGCCGAUACUGACGCUGAGGAGCGAAAGCGUGGGGGAGCAAACAGGAUU